rnacentral:rRNA from 1 species
CCUACGGGAGGCAGCAGUGAGGAAUAUUGGUCAAUGGCCGGAAGGCUGAACCAGCCAAGCCGCGUGAAGGACGAAGGUGCCAAGCAUUGUAAACUUCUUUUGUCAAGGGACAAAAUCAGGCUCGAGAGCCUGACCGAGGGUACUUGAAGAAAAAGCAUCGGCUAACUCCGUGCCAGCAGCCGCGGUAAUACGGAGGAUGCGAGCGUUAUCCGGAGUUAUUGGGUUUAAAGGGUGCGUAGGGGGGCUGAUAAGUUAGCGGUAAAAGCCCGGGGUUCAACCCCGGCGAGCCGUUGAAACUGGCUGUCGUGAGAUGUCAGGAGGUAUGCGGAAUGCGCAGUGUAGCGGUGAAACGCUUAGAGAUUGCGCAGAACUCCGAUUGCGAAGGAAGCAUACCGGCGGCGAUCUGACGCUGAGGCACGAAAGCGUGGGUAUCGAACAGGAUUAGAUACCCUGGUAGUC